ACAGAUGGUUUAUCAUACUACCAUCUGCCAGAGAAUUACAAGUGAAAAACUUAAAACUCUAAGGACUUGACGGUGCCCCACACCAGCCUAGAGGAGCCUGUCCUAUAAUCGAUACCCCACGCUCCACCUCACCCCCCCUUGCCGAACCCCGCCUAUAUACCGCCGUCGUCAGCCCACCUACUGAUAGCAACAAAAGUCAGCAUAAUAGCACCCCGCUAGCACGUCAGGUCAAGGUGUAGCUAAUGGGGGGGACUAAGAUGGGCUACAUUUGCUAACCUCUAGCAAACCCACUGAAAGCCCCAUGAAACAAAGGGCCAGAAGGCGGAUUUAGCAGUAAACACCGGCAAGACCUGCCCACUUGAACACCGCUCUGGGGCGCGUACACACCG
rnacentral:rRNA from 1 species